AGAAAUGUCCCACUAAGGUGCAA
rnacentral:piRNA from 1 species